GAUAAAAUGUCAGUUUGGCAAACCGUGCAGUGGAGAUCACAAGUUCAGUGGCAGUGCGCUGCCACAGCCAGAGGCCAGCGUGUCUCCCAUCAUGAAGGUGUCUAAACUUUACACCCUGCAAAACACCUAAAGAUGAUCCCAAAGGUUCCCACAGAACCGCUCGAAAAGGUUGGCACCAGGUCCUCAUAGGGGCAGAUGGUCGCUUGGACCGGGUAGUUGCGCAGGAGCAUCUCUGCGUCCUGGUACAGGUCAUGGUGACUCCUGGACUAACAAGGAAAACAGUCCUCCAUGCAACAACAGGAGGAAGGGCAGGGGAGUCUUCUUCACUGACUUAAGUGGAGAUGCCACAGCCUCAAGACAAUCUGAUACUACCUUCCUGCUUUCAGUUUGCAUGUACAUCUUUACUUUAGUU